UCUCACCCUAGAUUUCCGUGUCUAACUUUGAUUGUCCGUCUUAUAUAAAAUUUUUUUAUAAUUCAUAUAUUCAUUUUUGUUAGAUGAUAAAACAUAAUUAAUAUUUUAUACGUGACUUGUCUUUUUAAUUUUUUUAUAAUUUUUUUAAAUAAGACGGACGGUCAAACGUUGAACAUGAAAAUCAGGGUUUAUCUUUUU
rfam:Oryza sativa (indica cultivar-group) chromosome 3, whole genome shotgun sequence.